rnacentral:rRNA from 1 species
AUUGAACGCUGGCGGCAGGCCUAACACAUGCAAGUCGAGCGGCAGCGGGAAAGUAGCUUGCUACUUUCGCCGGCGAGCGGCGGACGGGUGAGUAAUGCCUGGGAAAUUGCCCAGUCGAGGGGGAUAACAGUUGGAAACGACUGCUAAUACCGCAUACGCCCUACGGGGGAAAGCAGGGGACCUUCGGGCCUUGCGCGAUUGGAUAUGCCCAGGUGGGAUUAGCUAGUUGGUGAGGUAACGGCUCACCAAGGCGACGAUCCCUAGCUGGUCUGGGAGGAUGAUCAGCCACACUGGAACUGAGACACGGUCCAGACUCCUACGGGAGGCAGCAGUGGGGAAUAUUGCACAAUGGGGGAAACCCUGAUGCAGCCAUGCCGCGUGUGUGAAGAAGGCCUUCGGGUUGUAAAGCACUUUCAGCGAGGAGGAAAGGUUGGUAGCUAAUAACUGCCAGCUGUGACGUUACUCGCAGAAGAAGCACCGGCUAACUCCGUGCCAGCAGCCGCGGUAA